UACGGAGGGUGCGAGCGUUGUCCGGAAUCACUGGGCGUAAAGCGCUUGUAGGCGGUUUGUCGCGUCUGCUGUGAAAAUCCGGGGCUCAACCCCGGACUUGCAGUGGGUACGGGCAGACUAGAGUGUGGUAGGGGAGACUGGAAUUCCUGGUGUAGCGGUGAAAUGCGCAGAUAUCAGGAGGAACACCGAUGGCGAAGGCAGGUCUCUGGGCCACUACUGACGCUGAGAAGCGAAAGCAUGGGGAGCGAACAGG
rnacentral:rRNA from 1 species